AUGAUGUUUGUUUUAAAAUGGCAUAAACUAUAAACAACGUUUUUAUAUCAAGACUGUUGGCAUGAUCUAUAUACAGUGAUGAUUAUUUUAAAGCUGCAUGAUAGCAUAAUAUUCUAUGAACAGUGAUGGUUACUGCAUGAUAAUAAUCGAUGAACAAUAAUGUUUAUUUGAAAAAUGUAUGAUAUAAGAAUGGCAAUAAUGUACUAGUAAUGAUGUUUAUUUGAAAACUGUGUCAUUGGGGUGAGUCACUUUCCAAAAUCAGGGGUGAGAUAGUAUUAAUCUGGCUGAAAUGCAUGAAAAUUGCAAUACAUGUGUCCUUACAUUACCAAUGAAGUUGCUCUAAAGCAGAGAACAGACUUUAUUGGGUGUGGUCUGCACCACACACUCAUCCAUCACCUAGCAUCAUAGAUUUUCAAUAAUUUAAGAGCACGUUCCUGGAAAUCUGUGAUAUGAAUCUCAACCACACACAGCAUCUACCCUAUCAGUUCUUAUGUUGAACUAAGCAAUCAACCACACACGUCAUGCUACCUUAUCAUCUUUAUUAACCACCAUUUCCACACCCACUGAACUCACUCACUGGAACCCUAGUUGUAAGUAAGAGAAAGGCUUCUUCCACUCAGCACCAACUUCAUACAUCUGAUUCUUUGUAUAGAACUCCACAGAAUAUGGAGACUGUUCUUUCCAACCACUCCCCACCUUUGGAAUUCAAGGGUUUGAGCAAUGAGGAGGAAGAGUCACUUCUAGGGCAAGUUGAAAUAUGGAGGUACAU